GAUGGACGCUGGCUACAGGCUUAACACAUGCAAGUCGAGGGGAAACGGCAUUGAGUGCUUGCACUGAAUGGACGUCGACCGGCGCACGGGUGAGUAACGCGUAUCCAACCUUCCCGUUACUGCGGGAUAACCUGCCGAAAGGCAGACUAAUACCGCAUGUUCUUCGAUGACGGCAUCAGAUUCGAAGCAAAGAUCCGUCGGUAACGGAGGGGGAUGCGUCUGAUUAGCUAGUUGGCGGGGCGACGGCCCACCAAGGCGACGAUCAGUAGGGGUUCUGAGAGGAAGGUCCCCCACAGUGGAACUGAGACACGGUCCAAACUCCUACGGGAGGCAGCAGUGAGGAAUAUUGGUAAAUGGGCGGAAGCCUGAACCAGCCAAGUAGCGUGCAGGAUGACGGCCCUACGGGUUGUAAACUGCUUUUAUGCGGGGAUAAAGUGAGGGACGCGUCCCUUUUUGCAGGUACCGCAUGAAUAAGGACCGGCUAAUUCCGUG
rnacentral:rRNA from 1 species